rnacentral:rRNA from 1 species
CCUAACACAUGCAAGUCGAGCGAGAAUUUUCCAACUGAUUCUUCGGAUGAAGGAAGAAAAGGAAAGCGGCGGACGGGUGAGUAACGCGUGGGAAACCUGCCCUAUACACGGGGAUAGCCAUUGGAAACGAUGAUUAAUACCCGAUAAGACCACAAUCUCGCAUGGGAUGGUGGUAAAAAUUCCGGUGGUAUAGGAUGGUCCCGCGUCUGAUUAGCUAGUUGGUAAGGUAACGGCUUACCAAGGCGACGAUCAGUAGCCGGCCUGAGAGGGUGAACGGCCACACUGGAACUGAGACACGGUCCAGACUCCUACGGGAGGCAGCAGUGGGGGAUAUUGCACAAUGGGGGAAACCCUGAUGCAGCGAUGCCGCGUGAAUGAUGAAGGCUUUCGAGUCGUAAAGUUCUGUUCUUAGGGAAGAUAGUGACGGUACCUAAGAAGAAAGCCCCGGCUAAAUACGUGCCAGCAGCCGCGGUAAUACGUAUGGGGCGAGCGUUAUCCGGAAUUAUUGGGCGUAAAGAGUUCGUAGGCGGUUUUCUAAGUCAGAAGUGAAAGGCAGUGGCUCAACCAUUGUAAGCUUUUGAAACUGGGAAACUUGAGUGUUGGAGAGGAAAGCGGAAUUCCUAGUGUAGCGGUGAAAUGCGUAGAUAUUAGGAGGAACACCAGUGGCGAAGGCGGCUUUCUGGACAAAUACUGACGCUGAGGAACGAAAGCGUGGGGAGCGAACAGGAUUAGAUACCCUGGUAGUCCACGCCGU